GAUGAACGCUGGCGGUAUGCUUAACACAUGCAAGUCGAACGGACUCUUCGGAGUUAGUGGCGGACGGGUGAGUAACGCGUGAGAAUCUGGCUUUGGGUUCGGGACAACCACUGGAAACGGUGGCUAAUACCGGAUGUGCCGAGAGGUAAAAGACAAAUUGCCUGAAGAUGAGCUCGCGUCUGAUUAGCUAUUUGGGGAGGUAAAGACCCACAAGGGCAGCGAGAAGUAGCUGGCUUGAAGGGAUGACCAGCCAAACUGGGAAUGCGACACGGCCGAGGCUAAUACGGGAGGAAGGAGGGGGGAAUGUUCCGGAAAGGGCGAAAGCCUGACGGAGCAAUACCGCGUGUGGGAAGAAGGCGCUGGGGUUGAAAACCUCUUUUCUUAGGGAAGAACAAAAUGACGGUACCUAAGGAAUCAGCAUCGGCUAACUCCGUG
rnacentral:rRNA from 1 species